rnacentral:rRNA from 1 species
UACGUAGGGACCAAGCGUUGUUCGGAAUUACUGGGCGUAAAGGGCUCGUAGGCGGCCAACUAAGUCAGACGUGAAAUCCCUCGGCUUAACCGGGGAACUGCGUCUGAUACUGGAUGGCUUGAGAUUGGGGGAGGGAUGCGGAAUUCCCGGUGUGAGCGGUGAAAUGCAUUGAGAUCGGAAAGAACACCAACGGCGAAAGCACUCUGCUGGGCCGACACUGACACUGAGAGACGAAAGCUAGGGGAGCAAAUGGGAUUAGGAAAACCCUUGAUGAGU